AGGCUGCCUAAGAAUAUGAAAACCAACAACGCAGUUUCCCAAAUGGAGCAAUACUGAGUGACUGAAAUCAGUUCUUCUGCCUGCAGAAGCAGUUGGAGAGCAGCAGGUGUGAAGAGGAAGGAGCCUAAACCAGGAUUGUGGAGAUAAAUUAGCAGGUACAUGCGUAGUACUGCUAACCCCAUUUCCAAUUUUGAAGCCUGUGUAGGUGUUUUAUUUUCUAACUGUUUUAGAAAGACUGUCAUGAAAUAAUUAGGCUCUGUCAACAGUUCCCCUAUUCCCAGAUUACUGCUUCCUGACUCAUUAGAGCUGCUGAGGUUGGCAGGAAACUUGUUUUAUAGUAAUUUCUCUUGGCGGUGUCCCUGGAGAAGAGACACUGUGAGGCAUGUGACACUGGCGUCAACAUCAUCCUCAUAAUGGAGGUACGGGGCAGCUGGGAGACAUCAGGUUACUGCUGCCAUGAGACACCAGCACCUCUGCACCUCAUGCUGGAGAUGGGGAAUGGGAUGACUGGGGAUCCUAGCCUGUGUGGCGGAUAGCUGGGCAGGGUUUUAGGGACAAGAACCCAGUUUGUGUGAUUUGCUGGUUUCCUGAAUAUUUGGCUAGCUUGUAAGGCUUUUAAAAAGAGAAAAAAAGACUUAAAAACCAUUGAUGCAAUGGGUCUUCCCAUUCAAUCCAGGAUGAAGCCACAACAGCAUCCCCAGCAUUUCCUCCCAGAGCAGCAGAUAUGAUGGGCAAACACAACUUGGCUGCAUCAGGAGGUACCGAGUCUUCAUGGUCUACUGGCAGCAAGGCAAGCAUCUGGCUCCACACAGGCUUUGCUACUGUCAGAGCAUGACCCAGGGCAGGAGUUUGUUCACUGUAGCUGUGUGACCCUUAUUACUCUGGGUACAAGAAGCAGCAUUUUCUGGGGUCUCCCAGCUCAGAACAGAGCAGUGCCCAGCCAGGCCCAGCCCACAGCUCCCAACUCCAACCUUUGCAGUAUGGAAAGCCCCACAUCACAUUCCCUUGCUACUCCUUCCUUUUAUCAGCUAAUUUCAGCAAAACCAGGAACAUGCUCAGACUUCCUACUUAUCGUCUGCAAACCAUCAAUUCAGUCAACAGUUACAUUCUGUUUUGUCAAGGGAUUCAGGUUUGUGGAGAGGCAAAGAGACCUGUACAGUUCUGCCAGCAACAUGGUUACAUGAACAGCGAAAGCUGCCUCCAUGCUCAUGUUUACAGUUCUUCACUCAACUUAUUUUCCAGAGCACCUGAAGGAAGCAAAACACACAUAAACAGCUUUAAUUUCAGCCAGAGAGGUUUUUCACAGGCUGAAAGCUGAGACAGUGCCUGCAUUGUGCAGGGAACCUGGCAACCAACCAUUGCUGAGCGAGAAGUUCAAUGUAAGGACAAAGAUUUGGAAUUGUCUUUUUUAAUCCUCAAAUAAAACAGGUAAACAAGCUUU